AUGAACGCUGGCGGCGUGCCUAAUACAUGCCAGUCGAGCGAACGGACGAGAAGCUUGCUUCUCUGAUGUUAGCGGCGGACGGGUGAGUAACACGUGGAUAACCUACCUAUAAGACUGGGAUAACUUCGGGAAACCGGAGCUAAUACCGGAUGAUAUUUUGAACCGCAUGGUUCAAAAGUGAAAGACGGUCUUGCUGUCACUUAUAGAUGGAUCCGCGCUGCAUUAGCUAGUUGGUAAGGUAACGGCUUACCAAGGCAACGAUGCAUAGCCGACCUGAGAGGGUGAUCGGCCACACUGGAACUGAGACACGGUCCAGACUCCUACGGGAGGCAGCAGUAGGGAAUCUUCCGCAAUGGGCGAAAGCCUGACGGAGCAACGCCGCGUGAGUGAUGAAGGUCUUCGGAUCGUAAAACUCUGUUAUUAGGGAAGAACAUAUGUGUAAGUAACUGUGCACAUCUUGACGGUACCUAAUCAGAAAGCCACGGCUAACUACG
rnacentral:rRNA from 1 species